rnacentral:lncRNA from 1 species
CCCCGGAACCACAUCCCUACCCCCCAAACAGUGUUACUAAGCUCCACUGACUCCCAAUGCCAGUGAACCAACAUUUGGUGGCAGCCACAUAUGUGCAUUUGGAAGGGACAGUCAGGUGUCUAAACCAGUGCUCUUUCUCCUGAAGAACUGGAGCACUAGCCUGGGCUUGGAGAAAGCCUGCCCACUGACUGCUUAGGGGCGCAUGUCCAGUGGCUGUCUACAUAUAUGAAAGUCUCUCACAGUAAACCAGAUAUGAAGCCUUUGACAUCUGCUGUGUGACUAUAACUGCAGAACACCUCAACUUGAACAAGGCACAUUUCCAGUGGCCAGUGACUUGGAGCUGGACAUUGUAGCUCUGGACAACGUGUGGAAUGUCAUCAGCAUCCUGCAUCAUCACAUAGGAAGAGAUCAUUAGGAGUGGUGAGAAGCUCAGAAGACAGAACUUGUUAAUAAAGCCCAGCACUUGUGAGAGUGCUGUAACAGAGAGAAACAGAGCGUCCCUCCCAUCCUGUCUACAGAUGACGCCUGGAACACUGUCUGCCGACUUGUGGUUUACCAACCAGUGUGAGCAAUUGAGCCUAAUGGAACGGCAAAGGUCAUCAUAACAAACCAUUACAGUCUUCGACUUGGCUACGCCGGCCACAGAAGAACCUCCAAGAAACCGUCAUCAUUCCUCCAAUGUUAUGGCAUCCAGACGACAGGGAUGCCUCGCAAAUGAGUCAUCCGGGCUCAGAUCCGCAGUAGCUCCGUGAGUGCAGCGCAAUCAAUUAUUCAUGUGUUU